rnacentral:rRNA from 1 species
GAUGAACGCUGGCGGCGCGCCUAACACAUGCAAGUCGAACGAUUAAAGCACCUUCGGGUGUGUAUAAAGUGGCGAACGGCUGAGUAACACGUGGGCAACCUGCCCCUUUCAUUGGGAUAGCCACGGGAAACCGUGGAUAAUACCGAAUACUUCGAGACUUCCGCAUGGAAGACUCGAGAAAGCUCCGGCGGAGAGGGAUGGGCCCGCGGCCUGUUAGCUUGUUGGUGGGGUAACGGCCUACCAAGGCAAUGAUGGGUAGCUGGGUUGAGAGACCGACCAGCCAGAUUGGGACUGAGGCACGGCCCAGACUCCUACGGGAGGCAGCAGUGGGGAAUCUCGCACAAUGGGCGAAAGCCUGAUGCAGCGACGCCGCGUGCGGGAUGAAGGCCUUCGGGUUGUAAACCGCUUUCAGCAGGGACGAGGCGAAAGUGACGGUACCUGCAGAAGAAGCCCCGGCUAACUACGUG